rnacentral:rRNA from 1 species
GACGAACGCUGGCGGCGUGCUUAACACAUGCAAGUCGAACGGAAAGGCCCUGCUUUUGUGGGGUGCUCGCGUGGCGAACGGGUGAGUAACCCGUGAGUAACCUGGCCUUGACUUUGGGAUAACUUCAGGCAACUGGUGCUAAUACCGGCUAGGAGCUCCUGCUGCAUGGUGGGGGUUGGAAAGUUUCGGCGGUUGGGGAUGGACUCGCGGCUUAUCAGCUUGUUGGGUGGGUAGUGGCUUACCAAGGCUUUGACGGGUAGCCGGCAUGGGAGGGUGACCGGCCACAUUGGGACUGAGAUACGGCCCAGACUCCUACGGGAGGCAGCAGUGGGGAAUAUUGUACAAUGGGCCGAAGCCUGAUGCAGCAACGCCGCGUGCGGGAUGACAGCCUUCGGGUUGUAAACCGCUUUCGCCUGUGACGAAGCGUGAGUGACGGUAAUAGGUAAAGAAGCACCGGCUAACUACGUG